rnacentral:sRNA from 1 species
CGCCUAACCCAUCAAAUCUUGAUGGCACGGCGCAAUAAAACUAUCCCUAGUAGAGAGCUCGUCACCAGAGCAACUAGGGAUAGUCAUAUCUUGAAAGAGAUAUGGGUGCCGCAAGGCAUC